rnacentral:rRNA from 1 species
UACAGAGGGGGCUAGCGUUAAUCGGAAUUACUGGGCGUAAAGCGUGCGUAGACGGUUAUGUAAGUCGGGUGUGAAAGCCCCGGGCUCAACCUGGGAAUGCCAUUCGAGACUGCAUAGCUAGGGUGCGGAAGAGGGAAGCGGAAUUUCCGGUGUAGCGGUGAAAUGCGUAGAUAUCGGAAGGAACACCAGUGGCGAAAGCGGCUUCCUGGUCCAGCACCGACGUUCAGGCACGAAAGCGUGGGGAGCAAACAGG